rnacentral:lncRNA from 1 species
UUAAAGUUUUAAGUCAUAAUCAAGAAUCGUUUUUGAGAUACAGUGCGACAUGUGAAAAAAACACACCCUUGUUUUAGUUAUAAAGUGCCAUAACUCAAAAAGUUUAAAUCUUAUUUUCACCAAAAAGUAUACAGAUCAUUUGACCAUCAUAAGAAACAACUAUAUUAAGUUUCAUGAAAUUUGGAUAAGUCGUUCUCAAGUUACGGUGCAACAUGUUUACGCCGGACAGACGGACAGACGGACAGACAGAUGGACGGACACCGGACAUUUGUAUACCAUAAUACGUCCCGUCAAAAUUUUGACGGGCGUAUAAAAACCUAAAUGCACCUUUUUUAACAACAAAUUACAUAAAGAACAUAUGUAGAUGAUGUUAACUCCUGAUUGAUUUUAACCUGUAGAUAAAAACUCGGCCCAGGUCAUCAAAGUUCUACUGGACAUUUUAACACUAAAAUAUUGAUACAAUGUACUAUCAAACUUGGAAUAUGAUUUUUGUUGAGCCUGCUACUUUUGUCGCAGAAAGCUCGAUAUAGGGAAAGUGAUCCGGCG